UAGGAAACUGUAAAAGGAUUAUAGCUAUUUUACAAAUAGUAUUAUUUAUUCUUAA
rnacentral:tRNA from 1 species